ensembl:lncRNA
GUGCUGGCAGCCAGCUGAACAUGUGUCAGCAGAGUCCAGGUGGCCAAAAAAGCCAAUGGUAUCCUGGCCUGCAUCAGAAAUACUGUGACCAGUAGGACCAAGGAAGUGAUUGCCCUUUUUUAUACAGCAGUGGUGUGACAACACCUCAAGUACGUGUUCGGUUUGGGGCUCCUUGCUGCAAGAAGGGCAUUAAGUUGCUUGAAUAUAUGCAGAGAAGAAAAAAAAAUAUUGAAGGGAAAAGACAAGAGUUAUGAGGAGUGGCUGAGGGAACUGGGGCUGCUUAGUCUGGAGAAGAGGAGGCUGAGAGGAGACCUCAUUGUUCUUUACAGGUACCUGAAAGGGAGCUGCAGCGAGGUGGGGAUCAGUCUCUUUUCUCAGGUGACAAGCCAUAGUUCAUGAAGAAACAGCCUCACGUUGUACCAGUGAAGGUUUAGAAUUUACAUCUGGAGGAAUUUCUUCAUGGAAAGUGGUGCUGCAGAGGCACGGGCUGCUCAGGGAAGUGGUGGAGUCACCAUCCCUGGAGGUGUUCAAGAACCGUGAGGAUGUGGCACUGAGAGACGUGGUCAGUGGGCAGUAUUGGAGGGCCUUCUUUUGGAAUAUUGUGCAGGCAGAUGUCCUACUUAACAGGAGACCCCUCGUAUUCUGCCAGUUUCCAGAUAUGUUGAAGUAUUUCUGAUUCUGAUUGAGAACAUUUCAACCAUCAGGCAGAGAAGCCUGUCCAUCUGUGUGGGAUGCCAGAUGUCAGCUGCAGUACAGUCUGCAGAGAGAGAAGCUAUCUGAAGGCUACGUGGACAGUAGUAUGGUGAGGCUCCUCCUCUUCUAGUUCUACCAUUUUGCUGGCCAAAAAAAAUCUUUCGUUUUCCCUACAGAACUGCCAGACUAGUUGGUGUCUUCCCACCAGAAGAUACAUGGGGACCUUUACAAGUAAGCACCAUCUCCCAUUGUCCCAAAUUCCUUACUGAAACCCAGAGGCAGAUGAAAUCUUCCUGGCUCUGACCUAUCACACUGUGAGUGGGUACCUCUUCUCGACGUCCUGUGACUGCAGUUAUAGGAUAACUUAAUUCCUAUGAACCUACUAAGCUGUUGAUCUAGACAAACUGGAGAAUAAGUGCUUCCUGCAUCCUCUGUGUAAUUUGCUGCCAUUUAAUACCAUUGACUGUAUAUUCUUUAUGAGAUAAUAUGGAAUUCUCUAUUUUUCUCUUUAUUUCCAUUGAGGUCAGAGACAGGCGGUGCCUUUUUUUUCCAACAGCUCUGAGUCAAACUCUAGUAGUCCUUUUCCUUCACCCAUUUUCCUAUACAAGGACUCUAUCUUACCUGUUCUCUCAGCUUCUAAACAAUGGAUCUGUUCUAAGUCAGCAUGUUCUAAGAGCAAGUGACAAAAAUGCAAGAGAACUGCUGAUUCUGUCGUAAAGUUACAUCACUUAUUAUAAGAGAUAAUGACCCAUCUCCAUCCCCCUUUGAGGAAAAUCAAAAGAUCACUAAUUCUCAUUUUGCCGGACCAUUUAACUGUACAGUGAUUUAUGGCAUACUUCCAGUUCAAUAACCUAACCGUGGUAUAGCUAGAAUUUUGGUUUCUGAGACUUCUGUUCUUCCAGAACCCAAAGACAUGCUUAGAAACAUUGUGUCUAUUCUUUCUAGAAAGCAGGGAGAGACGUAUCUUUCACCAGCCCUGAGCUGAAUGAUGCACAACACUUUCUGCUCACCAAAUUUAACAGGAUGGUUUGAGAAUCAUUUCUUUUUCAUCUUCUCCCCGUACUCAGGAAGACUCAGUACUCUGCAGGGCUGCAUUUUUAUUCCACAAAUUGUUCUCCAUGUUGAAUUUUAUCUGACGCUGCAGUGAACAAUUUCCAAUUCUGCCUUUGUUUCCUUUCCUCUCACUCCUCUUUUGGCCUAACUUUGUUAAAUAUUUUUGCAACCAGAAGGUAUUUUUGGAGUGCAUAUACUGCCAUGACUCUCUGUUUUCAAUGGCAGCACUCAGUUCUGGCUGCCAUGAGCAAGCACAAGAUGCCAUGUAAAACUGCAAGUUGAUUUUUAAAAAAUCUGAUUAUAUAAUGUUAUACCAUUCCUUUUGGUUGAAAUUCCAGGAAAGUAGCAAAGGGGAUUUUGUAUUGCCUACCCUAAACGGUAAGCAUGUUUAAAAUUCAGUUCAGGAAUAAAAAGCUACACUAAUACAAUAAUAAUGUUCACAUUUUAAAGCUCUUUGGCAAGGAGAGAUACUGAAAAAAUGUCAGCUUCACCUUUUGACAGCACUGGCAGUAACCCUCUAAACUCUGCUUUAAUACUAUAAUUGCCCCAAAUAUUUGGUUUAAACACUUUUAACCUAAGCAACUAUGCCAGCUCUAGAUAAUAUCUUGGUUCAGAGUUGAUUUUGGUAGAGAGUCAGGUCAGAGAGCACCCAUGACUGACUACCUGCAUAGGUUCAAAUUCCCCAGGCGUCACAUGGAGACCACAAAAUGGAGGAAAGUAAGGCUAAUUUGUUGACUGUCAUGAAGAAAGAUGAGUUCUGGAGCAGAAUCAUAGAAACCACAUCCUAAUACUAACAUACUCAGAGAGCUGUUUGCCAAUACAAUUUGUGUGAAUUGAGUAUUAUGUAACACAGAAUGACAGAGGACAAAGGGAGAAAUAAGAAAUGGCGCCAUCUCUGUGCCCCCAAAACCAACAAGAACCCAUGCCAAUGGAAAGCUUCCACACUCCUGAGAAAAUGAAUGCUUUCUGAAC